rnacentral:rRNA from 1 species
AGUGAACGCUGGCGGCGUGCCUAACACAUGCAAGUCGAACGGGGUAGCAAUACCUAGUGGCGCACGGGUGAGUAACACGUAGCUAAUCUGCCCUAUAGCGGGGGACAACAGUUGGAAACGACUGCUAAUACCCUAUACUCCGGUAUCUCACAAGAGGUAUCGGGAAAGUUUUUCGCUAUAGGAUGAGGCUGCGGCCUAUCAGCUAGUUGGGGAGGUAACGGCUCACCAAGGCUAUGACGGGUAGCUGGUCUGAGAAGAUGAUCAGCCACACUGGAACUGAGACACGGUCCAGACUCCUACGGGAGGCAGCAGUGGGGAAUUUUACACAAUGGGCGAAAGCCUGAUGUAGCAACGCCGCGUGGAGGAUGACGGAUUUAGGUCUGUAAACUCCUUUUAUAGGGGAAGAAAUUUGACGGUACCCUAUGAAUAAGCGCCGGCUAACUCCGUG